GCUAAAUGUAUGCGCAUUGAAAAAAAACUCCAAUCUGAUCAGAGCCUAAAGGACCAAAAGAAGAACGUGAGAAAGUGUGCUGAAUUUCAACCGGAAGGCUGGCCUGCGACCUAAGUCUCAAAGAGAUCAGUUCGGAGGGCAGGAGACAUUCAACAAAAAUCAGCAAGUUCUAUGAGAAUGCCAUCCCUUAAAUGAAAGAUGAAGGAAAUUUGAGCAAUACAGAC